rnacentral:rRNA from 1 species
GCCCCCGCCCGCCUACGGGAGGCAGCAGUAGGGAAUCUUCCGCAAUGGACGAAAGUCUGACGGAGCAACGCCGCGUGAGUGAUGAAGGUUUUCGGAUCGUAAAGCUCUGUUGUUAGGGAAGAACAAGUACCGUUCGAAUAGGGCGGUACCUUGACGGUACCUAACCAGAAAGCCACGGCUAACUACGUGCCAGCAGCCGCGGUAAUACGUAGGUGGCAAGCGUUGUCCGGAAUUAUUGGGCGUAAAGGGCUCGCAGGCGGUUUCUUAAGUCUGAUGUGAAAGCCCCCGGCUCAACCGGGGAGGGUCAUUGGAAACUGGGGAACUUGAGUGCAGAAGAGGAGAGUGGAAUUCCACGUGUAGCGGUGAAAUGCGUAGAGAUGUGGAGGAACACCAGUGGCGAAGGCGACUCUCUGGUCUGUAACUGACGCUGAGGAGCGAAAGCGUGGGGAGCGAACAGGAUUAGAUACCCUGGUAGUCCACGCCGUAAACGAUGAGUGCUAAGUGUUAGGGGGUUUCCGCCCCUUAGUGCUGCAGCUAACGCA